UCUCUGCUGGUCCAGUGGCUAAGACUCUGCACUCCCAGUGCAGGGGGCCUGGGUUCGAUCCCUGGUCAGGGAA
rnacentral:tRNA from 1 species